GGCUCUGAAGUAUAUAUUACGUUGAAUUGCAAAUUCGAAGAAGUAGUUUAAGUGCUACCAGGGCU
rnacentral:tRNA from 1 species